GGAGUUAAGAAAUGUGGGGGUGUUAAUAGCGCCUUCACUUGACUAAAGCUCCAGAGGAAGCCACGGCUAACUCUGUGCCAGCAGCCGCGGUAAUACAGAGGCGGCAAGCGUUGUUCGGAAUUAUUGGGCGUAAAGAGCACGUAGGCGGCUCUGCAAGUCAGCUGUGAAAGCCUUCUGCUUAACGGAAGAACAGCAGUUGAAACUACAGGGCUUGAGUGUGGGAGAGGAGAGUGGAACUUCUG
rnacentral:rRNA from 1 species